UACAGAGGGGGCAAGCGUUAUUCGGAAUUAUUGGGCGUAAAGGGCGCGUAGGCGGCCAUUCAAGUGACGGGUGAAAGCCCUCGGCUUAACCGAGGAACUGCCUGUCAGACUGGAUGGCUUGAGACCGGGAGAGGUGAGUGGAAUUCCCAGUGUAGCGGUGAAAUGCGUAGAUAUUGGGAGGAACACCAGUGGCGAAGGCGGACUCACUGGACCGGAACUGACGCUGAGGCGCGAAAGCGUGGGGAGCAAACAGG
rnacentral:rRNA from 1 species